CUCCCUCCCUGCUCCCCCACCUCCCUCCCGAGUCGUAGACUCCCUUCCCCCCGGCGCUGGGAGUCUCCUUCCCGCCCCGCCGCGCAGGUGCGGCGACGGCCGCGUCACUGGAGAGUGUGUCGAGUCACAGGCGGUCUUCCGCGCGGAGCGUCCCCGGCGGACGCUGCGCAGAUGGCUGCGACUGUAGGAUUCUUGCCGGCUAGUCUUCGUCGGUUCCGCCUGCGUCAGGUUACUCGUGAAAACUCGAAUAAGUGCUAUCGAUGUGAAAUCCGAGGAAAAGAGCAUUUGGGGGAAAAGUAAGGAAAACUCAAAACUCGGAUUGAGAAGUCUGCCUUGGCUCAUUAAUCAAGAAUUGCGCUUGCGCGCCUAAAUGUGACUGCCUUUAUCCUGCGAUGUCGGUAUUGAAGUAAGAGCAAUACUGGCGGCGUACCUAGCAUUUAGCGACCAUCAGUAUCAGUAGCAGGCCUCUAGCAAAGAACCAGUUAGUGAGCUUUGUACCAUAUCGAAAAUUAUAAGCCGUCCAAAAAAGUGUGAGAGUAAGGAAAAUGGCAGAUUAGAAUCAAAAUAUUUUUAUACCUGUGUCAUACAAGGGUACUUUGAAAAUAGAAAACCAGGUGGAAAUACCACAAAACUUAUUGUAUAUGUUGACACCGAAGAUGGUUUACAAUAGGGAAGAACAGGUGCAAUCAUGCUUGUUCUGUUUCAUGCCAAAUUCCGAAGAUUCACAGUAAGAAUUUAAUCAGAGGUCUUUAUAUUGGAAAAUAUUGCCUAACUGUAGCCUGCUUCAGGCUUGGUUAAUAUAGUUGUGAAACUAGACAUUAAGGCCCUGUAAUACAGACAAAACUUUAAAGAAAUAGGUCAUUUAAAAUGUCCCGUAGAAAAAUGAACAAAAUUCUGUUACUUCAGUUUGCUAAAUAGUGUUUUGUUUUUUUACCAAGUUACAAACACGAUUACACUAAUAUAUUCACACGUCGAUUAUGGUAGUCUUAAGAAGAGCAGUUUAGAGGAGACAGGAGCUUGAGUAAAAGGGAACUUAAGACCAAGUUGACUCGUAGGAAGAUACGGAAGAUAAAAGAGAAUUGAGGUAAUUAAUCUAUCAGUCAUGCUAGAGACAGGAAUGAUUUUUCCAAUAGGAGGUGAAGGUACACAGAUGUUUGUCUUUACUGGGAAUAAUGCCACAGUGGAAGACAAAGGUAAUAUAGAAAAUAAAAUAUUAAGAAGGAAUUAAGUAUUAAGAAGGAUCGUGGAUUUGAGGUGGAGUGGAGGAAAUUUGGAAUUAAUCUUUGUGCUAAGAAACUAACAGGACGAAUGAAGAUUGCUGAAUAGUACCAGCGAAGUGAUUAUUCCAAAGUAGACAAGAAAAAAAUAUUGGUAAAUUUAAAACUUGACAGAUUACUUUGAAUUGUCUAUAACAUUUUCUUCUUUCUGUUAAUAUUAGGUCUUGAAAAAUUGAAUAUUACAAAAUAAGAUGUCUGAGAGAACAUAGUGCUAUUAGUCCAUAUAAAUUACAUGUCAUAAUAUUAGACUUCCAAAAGCACCAUGACUCUGUAUUUUUAAAAUACCUCUUGAAUGAUAGAUGCAUGAAAUGAAAUACUAGGUUUUUAUACCAAGAUAUUCAACGCUUAUUUCCU
rnacentral:lncRNA from 1 species